rnacentral:rRNA from 1 species
CGGAUCCUACGGGAGGCAGCAGUGAGGAAUAUUGGUCAAUGGGAGAGAUCCUGAACCAGCCAAGCCGCGUGAGGGAAGACUGCCCUAUGGGUUGUAAACCUCUUUUGUCAGGGAGCAACGCCGGCUACGUGUAGCCGGACUGAGAGUACCUGAAGAAAAAGCAUCGGCUAACUCCGUGCCAGCAGCCGCGGUAAUACGGAGGAUGCGAGCGUUAUCCGGAUUUAUUGGGUUUAAAGGGUGCGUAGGCGGAAUGCCAAGUCAGCGGUAAAAUCGCGGGGCUCAACCUCGCUCCGCCGUUGAAACUG